rnacentral:tRNA from 1 species
AAUAAAAUGGCCGAAAUAGCAUUAGUCUGUAAAACUAAUUAUGAGGUUUUCCUCUUUUAUUA